UAGGGGUCAACCUUUUGAAAGUUCAAAACACAUAAUUCUUUUCCGAACCCCUGCAAGUUAAAAGUCCAUAAAUCUUAUCAUCAUUCAUAUUAUGGUGAUACGAUUGUCGAAGUUAUUGUUUCUGCUUCCGAUGAUGAAUAGUUCUUCGGCAAACCUGGUGGUCAUUGCAAUAUUAGUGUUGCUUCUUAUGGGGGAAUGCCGAGCAACUUGUGGACUUCCUCAUGACGGUUGCUUUGAAUAUCAAAAUGAUAUUUUGAGCAAGAAAGUAAUGCCUGUUCGCCGCAGCCUUGGAUUCAAUCCGUGGAGUCCACCACCUCCACCUACUAAAGCUACACCACACCAACAUGGCCGCUAAAGGAAGUUAGUGUUGUGUUGUAAGUUAUUUGCCAAGUUUUAAGUUGUAUUGGGGUUGGAGUCUUUGUACAGUCUACUUAGAGCUCGGUUUUAUUUAUUUAGUCAGUUUUUUCGUUUUCUUACGCGAGUUGAAAAAUAUUGGGUUUAGUAUGUUAAACAAAAUUGAAUAUCCUUGUCACCGAAAAAAAAAAAUUGAAUAUCCUUAUCAAG